rnacentral:sRNA from 1 species
UUUUAAACAGCUGAGCCAAAAAAGCACCAGACAAGGCUAGUGGGCAUUUGACCAAAUGCCAGACUAAAGAACUCUUCUUCCUCUUAAAUAUAAGCCAUAGAUCAGUCUUUCAAAUCCCAAAAGUAAGUACGUGUCGCCCAUGCUGUGCAUACAGGGUGGUGUUCUGGCCUUGAAUCAUUUCUGUGCUCUUAGAUCACAUUCUGUCCUUAACCACGCACACAAAAACACACACAUACACACAGACGCCCACACAAACCGUUUCUUCAGAGGCCACAUUUGAGUUGGGCAUUAUUUUUGACAAAUACUGUGUGACAUCUCUGAAACAGAAUCUCCCAAGUUGAGAGAAUGGAAUUAGAUUUUCGGAGAAGAGCUCCAUUCACGCUGAGCCAAAUCUGCUUGAGCAGUUAUUUGUACACAAGUGCCAUCAAUGUUGAUGGGAAUUUGGAAUGAAGCACUGAAAACAGCAUUUUAGCCCGGUGAGAAUAAUCCUUGAAAUCUCUGUGGUAAUUCAAUUUCAGCAGUGGUUGGACCACCCAGGAGCCACUGGAAGCGUGGUGCAUUUCAAGGUCUGCUUAUUUUUUCAACAAUUUUCUCUUUGAAACUUUAAGCUCUUCAGUCAGCACAAUGUCAAAAUGAUCAGCGGACAUGGGCAAUUUUCUAGUCCAGCAACUUGAGAUACAGUAAAAAUUCGAAGAAUAAAUUACAUAUGAAAGGCAGUUGGUUGGGACUGAACUGUGACUGAUGAUAUAGGAAUAACACCAGAUUUUAUAGCAUUCUGUCAUUCUAAAACUGGCCAUCAAGUGAAGUAACUUAGGAGUGGAAAACCAAACAUUGUAUGUCCUAACUGAUAUGUGGGAGCUGAGCUAUGAGGACGCAGAGGCAUAAGAAUGAUACAAUGGACUUUGGGGACUUGCGGGGAAGAGUGGAGUGGGGAGGGAUACAAGACUACAAAUAUGGUGCAGUGUAUACUGCUCGGGUGAUGGGUGCACCAAAGUCUCACACAUCACCACUAAAGAACUUACUCAUGUAACCAAAUACCACGUAUACCCCAAUAACUUAUGGAAAAAUUUAAAAAAAUUUAAAAAUAAAACUGGCCGUCACAUUAGCUUUCAUGCAUUAUUUUUGGGAUGAUUUUAUAUGUUAUAGAACUUUCACAUGCCAGGAAGAUUUAUGUUUAGGAAAUACAUUAUGCCCACCCACCCCUAUCUGUGCUUAUACAACAUUCUUUUCUCAUACAUUUAAUCUAGCCUUUAUAUGGAUUAUUUGUAGGAAAAUCAAGCCUCCAGAAAAGGGCAACUUGUUCAGAAGGAAAGCAUGGACACCAUUAACCACGCAAGUCAGCUGGUAGAGCAAGCCCAUGAUAUGAGGGAUAAAAUCCAAGAGAUCAACAACAAGAUGCUCUAUUAUGGGGAAGAGCAUGAACUUAGCCCCAAGGAAAUCUCUGAGAAGCUGGUGUUGGCCCAGAAGAUGCUUGAGGAGAUUAGACGCCGUCAACCAUUUUUCACCCAACGGGAGCUCGUGGAUGAGGAGGCAGAUGAGGCUCACGAAUUAUUGAGCCAGGCUGAGAGCUGGCAGCGGCUGCACAAUGAGACCCGCACUCUGUUUCCUGUCGUCCUGGAGCAGCUGGAUGAUUACAAUGCUAAGUUGUCAGAUCUCCAGGAAGCACUUGACCAGGCCCUUAACCAUGUCAGGGAUGCCGAAGACAUGAACAGGGCCACAGCAGCCAGGCAGCGGGACCACGAGGUACAGUGGACACUCACCAUCAAUGCAUUUCAGCAUCAGCAGUGUGGUGGUACACCAAGAAAGGGCAGUUGAUACAAAUUUUUAAAAAAUAUUAGUAUAUUUAAAUAGUUAUAUUUUAAAAUAUUGGUGUAUUUUUUGCUGCUAUAAAUUACUAACGUGUGUGUUCCUAAAAUCAAGUUGAAACUAGGAUAAUUGUCUAGUUCUUGCUUUGAUAAGAAUGCAGUAGUUCUGGUGCUUGUGUCCAUUGUGUAUGAUCUGCUGUUCUUGCAAGUGGGUAAGCAAUGCAUAGAUUUUUUUACACUGAAAGCACUAGAAGGCCAAAGCAUCUCAAAACCACGUGUUCUGGGUAUGUGUAAUUUUUGGAAAGGCACAAUAAGCAGAUCUCACAGUCUAGCUGGUCAGCAGCUGCAGGGAUAAGGAGACUAAUUGCCAAGGCCAUGCAAAUGCAAAGAGGAAGGUGAGGAGGAUUCCCAGACAUGAUCAUAGCUUGCAAAGAUGGUCAUCUCAUGGGGCCAGAAUUUGUGCAUGCCCACACCUACAGAGCUGAGAACUGGUAGUGGUCAUGUGUCCACUUCAAGCAAUGCAUGUAUUCGCAGCCACCAGCAUCAAGAGGGGCCAUCUUUUGAUAGGAUGACACAUGCAUGUUCAAACAUAUUUUAAAAGAUUAGGGAGAAAAGAAUACUGUGAACAAAUAGAAACCAAUUAUGAGCAAAUUCACGAAUUCAGUUACGUACUAUUGUGACAAAAGCCACUUAAACUAGGCUCUCUAGCCUGAUUUUCAGCCAUCAUUACCCCUCACUAAGAAUCCUUGUAAAAUUUCUUCCAUAAAAGUUAAUUACACUCAUCACCACUAUUUUCUAAUGGGAGCAAACCCCUAGCCAAUAUUUUUUAGAAUAAUACAGUUGGGAUAACAUUUUUUUUUGUUAAAUGAAUGCAUGAUUAUCUUAUACAAUAAAAGUAUAACACAAAA